AAAAAAUUCUAUUUUAAUAAUUAUAAUAAUUUUUAAAAACUGCCCAACUACCAAAGUGGGGCGCUGAUCUUUUUCUGGUCUAAUAACCUGAGUAAAAUAUAAGAAAACAAUACAUCCAGGCAUUGUACAAUAUCCAAUAGAAGAAUGUGACAACUGAAAGAAGGAGAACUCAUGAGGUAAGCUGCAAAAUCAUCCUGGCUUUCUGUAGAAGAUUCUCCAAUGGCUGCAACAUGCUAAAGUAAAAUGAAUGGGACUGAUUUCUGUGCACUGCACCUGCUGAAUGUAGCAAAAUGAUCAUACAAUUUUUUAACAUUAUUAUGUUGAAUUGCAUUGAUUUUUGGAAGUUAAACACUGUUUUGGAAUAUAAAUCUAACAUGAAUAUGAUAUAUUAUCCUUUUUAAUAUAGUUCUUUGAUUUGCUAAGAUGGUUAGAAUUUACAUCUAUUUUAUGAAUGACACAAUUUUUCUUUCUUAUAAUUUAUUUUAUGUUUUUGUAUUAAUGAUAACCUCACAAAAUAAGUUUGAAGUAUUUUCUCUUUCUAUAUUCUCUAGAAUAUUUUCUGGUAGACUGAUAUAUUUCUCCUAAAAAAUUUGGAAAAAUUUUGUGAUGAAGAAGCUACCUGGGCCUGAAGAUAUCUUUUCUGGUAAGAUUCAAAUUACAAAUUCAAUUGCUAUAAUAGAUACGUAGAUUUUCUAAUUCUUUUUGCAUCAUUUUUGAUAUGUUGGGUACUUUGAGACAUUAAUCAAUUUCAUCCAAAGAAAAAUGUUUGUAAAAAUAUAAAAAGAAAGUACACUAUAUAAUUUUCAUGCAUUAAUACAUAUGAUAAAUUUUCAUUUAUAAAUUGUUAGUGUAUAAAUGUGAGAAAUUUUGAAUAUUUUUAGUUUUUUAAUGUUUGUUACAUAUGAUUUUCAAAUGCAUAUUUAUAACAAUACCUGUUCUGUUACAGAGAUGACUCAUGUUGGGUCUUGAUUUCAAAGGUUGAUUUAUAUUCAAAGAAAAUUUUCUUCAUAGAAAGAAUUUUUAAUUACACUUUGGAAAACACUCUUGUUUCAGUCAUAAAACAAAUGAUAUUAGCUGUUGAUAGAAUGAGAGAGCAUUUCAAGAAACAUAAUCUAUAGAAUUAGAUAAAUUAUUAAAGGGUAGUUCCUAAUUAGGCUUAUAAACAUCAAUAAUUAAUAAUUCCCCAAACUCAUAACAAAAGUGCUUUAUUCUUUUCAAAGAGUUUUCUUUUUAUUUCCGUAUUAGAUGCUCACAUCAACUCUCUGAGGUAACUUGGGAAAACAUUACCCUCAUUUAUUGGGUGAGAAAUGAAUUCUUGGGGAUGUGUGCAGUUUGUUUAUUAUAUAAAUACUAUGAGAAGAAAGGUUCUCUGAAUCCCAGGGCAGCUUCAUCAUCAGAGGGCUAGCGUGGAAUUAAUGUAAAAUUCUAACAUUUCACUGUGUGAACCAUGCUUUUCUCCAGGUCCUUACAACGUAUAAUAGUUUAUAAAUCCAAGCUAACAAAUGUGCUACAAUUAAAGUAAACCAAAUGAAUCAAAAUAAAUAAAACAAAACAAACAACAACGAGAAUACAACUAUCAUGACAGAAAUCUCAUUAGGAGAGAAUCUGUGAAUCAUUUAGGGAGAAAAAUGAUGGAGUGCUCUGUAUUGAAAUAAUACGCAUCUCUACAGUCAACAGUUAAAAUAGGAAAGAAGGAAGGGAGGGAGGGAGAAAAGAAGGGAGAAAGGUAAGGUGAAAGGAAAGGAAGGGAAGGGAGAUGCUCAGAAAAGGAAAAACAAAAGGUAUUUUCCAGUGGGGGAAAAAAAGAACACAUGGACACAAAGAGAGGAACAACACACACUGGGGUCUAUGGAAGGGUGGAGAGUCUGGGGGGAGGGAGAGGAUCAGCAAAAUUAGUGGGUGCUAGGCUUAAUACCUGGGUGAUGAAAUAAUCUGCAUAACAAACUCCCAUGACACAAGUUUACCUAUGUAACAAACCUUCCAAUGAAGCCUGAACCUAAAAUAAAAGUUAUAAAAAGAAAUUUAUCUUUUAUCUUUCCUUUGCCCUUUAAAAUUUCCUUUCUGGACAUUGUGCUUACUCAGAUCCUGAUACAAUACUGUACAAUAGUGGUAAGAGAGGGAGCUAUGGACAGAAUAUUUGUGUUUUCCCAAAUUCCUAUGUUGAUGCCUAAUCUACAAUGUGAUGAUAUUUUCAGGUGGGGCCUUUGGGAAGUUAUUAAGAUAUGAUGGUAGCGACUUUAUGAAUGAAUGGGACUAAGCCCUUAUUACAAAAGAUAGAGUUUGCGUUCUCUCUCUCUCUCUCCUCCCCACCCCCCCUGCCAUGUGCGAAUACAAACAGAAGAUGGCCAUCUACAAAGUACACAGAGGAUACCCACCUGUCACCGGAUCUGCCAGCACCUUGAUUGUGGACUUUCUUGUCUCCAGAAUCGUGAGACUUGUUUCUGAUCUGCGUGGGAAAGAAUUCAGUAUUUCUCCAUUUAAUAUGACAUUAGCUAUAGAUUUUUUAUAUGAUAUUAGCUAUAGAUUUUUUAUAGAUGCCUUGCAUUAAAGUGAAGAAGCUUCAUUUUCUUCCUAAUA
rnacentral:lncRNA from 1 species